GUUGGCAACAGCAAGGAGUGUGAAAGUAAGGGGAGAAAAGGAGAACUAUUGCAGGAAUAUACCAGGAAAGCCAGGAAAAUCCACAGACCCUUUGAAGGAACUGGAUCACCACCGCAGGUUCCCUGAGACACUAAAAAACUGUGAGUCAGAUUUCUUUCUCAACAGGGAGGCUCAUGGUCUGGUCCAAGUUCUCAG
rnacentral:lncRNA from 1 species